UACGAAGGGGGCUAGCGUUGCUCGGAAUCACUGGGCGUAAAGCGCACGUAGGCGGCUUCUUAAGUCAGGGGUGAAAUCCUGGAGCUCAACUCCAGAACUGCCCUUGAUACUGAGGAGCUCGAGUCCGGAAGAGGUGAGUGGAACUGCGAGUGUAGAGGUGAAAUUCGUAGAUAUUAGGAAGAACACCGGUGGCGAAGGCGGCCCUCUGGAACGGUACUGACGCUGAGACGCGAAAGCGUGGGGAGCGAACAGG
rnacentral:rRNA from 1 species